CUUGGUCAUUUAGAGGAAGUAAAAGUCGUAACAAGGUUUUUGUAGUCAAGGUCCUUCUGCAGAAUACGCCUUAGGAAGCCUUUGCGGGGUCGACUGACUCUAGCUAGCGCGACUGUAAAUAAAGAUUAGCUGUUCGCAAGUUGACUGUAGCCAGUUAGCAAGACUCUCAAAUUGCGGGAAAGCCCUUAGAGCCCAAGGUACACCUUUGAAGAAGAAAACUUUUCAAAGUCGUCAUAAUCCAAGGGAUUUGGGUGAUCUGCAGCAGAGUCCGUGUGCCACUGCACGGAUGAAGUUCACAGGCCAAAUGUUAGUCGGUGCCUCUCAGGGCGCUUAAGAUAUGGUCGGUCCCGAUAGGAAACCAUCGGGAAAAGUAUUCUCAUAUCAACGUUCCGUAGGUGAACCUGCGGAAGGAUCAUUAAUGAUAUGCAAGGACGCUCUUUUUAGAGGUCCGACCAACUCAUUUUCCUUCACCCUGUGCACAAACUGUUUUUACACAUUUUAAACACAAAAAGUCUAAGAAUGAUAUCGUCUCUUAAUUGAGCAUAAACAAACAAAACUUUCGGCAACGGAUCUCUUGGCUCCCGCAUCGAUGAAGAACGCAGCGAAAUGCGAUACGUAAUGUGAAUUGCAGAAUUCAGUGAAUCAUCGAAUCUUUGAACGCACCUUGCACUCUUUGGUAUUCCGAAGAGUAUGUCUGUUUGAGUGUCGUGAACCUCUCAACCCCCCCUUUUUGUCAUGAGACGGGCGCGGGCUUGGAUUAUGGCCGUCUGUCGGUUCUAAUCGAAUCGGCUCGGCUGAAAUACAUGAGCGACCACACUGAUCACAGUGACGGCUUGACUCGGCGUAAUAAUCUUUUUUUUCGCUGAGGACGUCCAUUUUUCAGAUAGGCGCUUCUAAUGCUACAACUUUUAUAAACUUUAGACCUCAAAUCAGUCAGGACUACCCGCUGAACUUAAGCAUAUCAAUAAGCGGAGGAAAAGAAACUAACAAGGAUUCCCCUAGUAACGGCGAGUGAAGUGGGAAAAGCUCAACUUUGAAAUCUGGCAGCUUCGCUGUCCGAGUUGUAGUCUCGAGAAGCGUUUUCCGUGUCAAUGCAUGCAUGAGUCUGUUGGGAUACAGCGUCAUAGAGGGUGAGAACCCCGUUCGUGGCAUGCCUUUUGAUACUCUGUGAUACGUUUUCGAUGAGUCGAGUUGUUUGGGAAUGCAGCUCAAAGCGGGUGGUAAAUUCCAUCUAAAGCUAAAUAUUGGCGGGAGACCGAUAGCAAACAAGUACCGUGAGGGAAAGAUGAAAAGCACUUUGGAAAGAGAGUUAAAAGUACGUGAAAUUGUCGAAAGGGAAACGCUUGAAGUCGGACGUGCAGGGCAACCUGCAGGCCAACAUCGGUUUUGACAGCUGGAUAAAGGCGGAAGAAGGUAGCAGCUCCGGCUGUGUUAUAGCUUCCAGCUGAAUACAGAUGACGAGACCGAGGACCGCAGCGCGAGCUUAGGAUGUUGGUGGAACGGCUUUAAACGACCCGUCUUGAAACACGGACC
rnacentral:rRNA from 1 species